GGCUGCUCGAUCCUACCAUGGAGACGACGGAAGCAUAGCUUUAGUGGCAAACGGGUGAGUAAUACGUAAGAAUCUACCUUUAGGAGGGAAAUAACAGUUAGAAAUGACUGCUAAUGUCCCAUAUGCUGAAAAGUGAAAUGUUUUUUGCCUAGAGAUGAGCUUACGCCUGAUUAGCUAGUUGGUAAGGUAAAGGCUUACCAAGGCAACGAUCAGUAGCUGGUUUGAGAGGAUGAUCAGCCACACUGGAACUGAGACACGGUCCAGACUUCUACGGAAGGCAGCAGUGGGGAAUUUUCCGCAAUGGGCGAAAGCCUGACGGAGCAAUACCGCGUGAAGGAUGAAUGCCUGUGGGUUGUAAACUUCUUUUAUUAGGGAAGAAGAUAUGACGGUACCUAAUGAAUAAGCAUCGGCUAACUCCGUGCCAGCAGCCGCGGUAAUACGGGGGAUGCAAGCGUUAUCCGGAAUUAUUGGGCGUAAAGAGUCUGUAGAUUGUUCAGAAAGUCUGUUGUUAAAGAUUAGAGCUCAACUCUAGAAAAGCAAUAGAAACUUCUAGACUAGAGUAUGGUAGAGGCAAAGGGAAUUCCCAGUGUAGCGGUGAAAUGCGUAGAUAUUGGGAAGAACACCAGAAGCGAAGGCGCUUUGCUGGGCCAUUACUGACACUCAGAGACGAAAGCUAGGGGAGCAAAUGGGAUUAGAUACCCCAGUAGUCCUAGCUGUAAACGAUGGAUACUAGAUGUUGUGCGUAUCGAUCCGUGCAGUAUCGUAGCUAACGCGUUAAGUAUCCCGCCUGGGAAGUAUGCUCGCAAGAGUUGAACUCAAAGGAAUUGACGGGGGCCCCGCACAAGC
rnacentral:rRNA from 1 species